rnacentral:rRNA from 1 species
UACCAGCACCCCGAGUGGUCGGGACGAUUAUUGGGCCUAAAGCAUCCGUAGCCGGCCUUACAAGUCCUCCGUUAAAUCCAGCUGCUUAACAGAUGGGCUGCGGAGGAUACUAUAAGACUAGGAGGCAGGAGAGGCAAGCGGUACUCAGUGGGUAGGGGUAAAAUCCGUUGAUCCAUUGAAGACCACCAGUGGCGAAGGCGGCUCACUGGCCCGGUACUGACGCUGAGGUGCGAAAGCGUGGGGAGCAAACAGG